rnacentral:rRNA from 1 species
GACGAACGCUGGCGGCGUGCCUAAUACAUGCAAGUAGAACGCUGAAGAGAGGAGCUUGCUCUUCUUGGAUGAGUUGCGAACGGGUGAGUAACGCGUGGGUAACCUGCCUUGUAGCGGGGGAUAACUAUUGGAAACGAUAGCUAAUACCGCAUAACAAUGGAUGACACAUGUCAUUUAUUUGAAAGGGGCAAUUGCUCCACUACAAGAUGGACCUGCGUUGUAUUAGCUAGUAGGUGAGGUAAUGGCUCACCUAGGCGACGAUACAUAGCCGACCUGAGAGGGUGAUCGGCAACACUGGGACUGAGACACGGCCCAGACUCCUACGGGAGGCAGCAGUAGGGAAUCUUCGGCAAUGGGGGCAACCCUGACCGAGCAACGCCGCGUGAGUGAAGAAGGUUGUCGGAUCGUAAAGCUCUGUUGUAAGUCAAGAACGGGUGUGAGAGUGGAAAGUUCACACUGUGACGGUAGCUUACCAGAAAGGGACGGCUAACUACGUG